rnacentral:rRNA from 1 species
GAUGAACGCUGGCGGCGUGCUUAAUACAUGCAAGUCGAACGGAAAGGCUCCUGCUUGCAGGGGUACUCGAGUGGCGAACGGGUGAGUAACACGUGGGUGAUCUGCCCUGUACUUCGGGAUAAGCUUGGGAAACUGGGUCUAAUACCGGAUAGGACAACUUUUUGGAUAUUGUUGUGGAAAGCUUUUGCGGUAUGGGAUGAGCUCGCGGCCUAUCAGCUUGUUGGUGGGGUAAUGGCCUACCAAGGCGUCGACGGGUAGCCGGCCUGAGAGGGUGUACGGCCACAUUGGGACUGAGAUACGGCCCAGACUCCUACGGGAGGCAGCAGUGGGGAAUAUUGCACAAUGGGCGCAAGCCUGAUGCAGCGACGCCGCGUGGGGGAUGAAGGCCUUCGGGUUGUAAACUCCUUUCGCUAGGGACGAAGCUUUUUUGUGACGGUACCUGGAGAAGAAGCACCGGCUAACUACGUG